CUGGUAAGUUAUUAUAGCAUAACUUUUAUUAACCAUUAAAAAAAUAUAAAUAAAUAUAUGUAUUUCCUACUUAUUUAAUUAUUACUUGUUGUGUAUGGAUUUCCCAUUUGCUGCAAUUUUUUAAUUUUAGUAUCUAUCUUUUGUGUUACACUUGGUAAGUUAAACAACUUUUUAAUGUGAAAUUAAAAAGUUGUUUAACUUUAUUUCCUUUACAAUACGUUUAACUUUAUUUCCUUAGUCAUGUGCUGCAACUAGUAAUUUAAAAAACUAUUACAUUUUAUGUGUAUGCAUUUCUCGUUAUUUAAAAUAUUGAUUUUUUGUUACAACAUUGUAGUUUUAGUAUCUACCUUUUGUGCUACACCUAAACAACUCUUUUUAAUGUGCACAAAUUUCUCAUUGAUUGCAAUAUUGAUUUUUAUAAUAUAUUUUUUACCUUUAGUUCUUUAUACGUGUGGCUACGCCUGGUUGGUGGGUUAAAUAUGAUCAUUUAAAUGAGAAAAUGUAUACUAGUGCAACUUGUAAUCUGGGUGUUAUAACAUUACAACCACAUCUAUGGUCAACUCUAAGAUCACCUUAUUUUGUUUGGCAGUGUUUUGGAAUCAAGUUAUGGCAAUAUUUUGUGUAUAAAAUAUAACAAUUACAUUUAAAAAGUGCUUAUUUCUGACAAAAA